UCUGUUUGAAAAGGGGAAGGAGAGAAGAGGAACGGCUGCUUCGUAGGAGGAGCGCCAAAGAGUGUCAGUGUACUCAGAGCAGGGGGGUUUUUUACUAACUUUAAUCUUUUAGUUAAUUCUUAUGGGCAUUUAAUGGUUUGUGCGCGACGGUGGCUGGCUAGCUCGGUGGCUGGGGGUCUUCAAGGUGGUUUUAAGGGGCAGCUGGUGUCGUCGCCUCCCCGAGGUCUAGAGCGGCCGCGCCCGUGGCCGCCUGCUCUACAGCGAGUUGUACUUCUGCGACGUCGUCCGCGACCGGUUCCGCAGCCGCCACUAGCUCUUCUGCCACUGGUGGUGCCACGUCCUCCAGUGCCCGGGCGCCGGCGACGUCCUGAUGCUCGACGAGCUGGUCCGCCCGAGCCCGCCGGGCCCCGAGCGCACCGCCUAGAUGUGCCGCGCCGGCGCCCUGCGCCGCCGUAGGUGCGGCAUGGGGCAGCAGAGGCAAACCCACGAGCUGUUCGCGCGCGAGAGGCUCCGCGCCCGCGCCCGGCCCGAGAGGUCCCGCCGCCUCCUGCGCAAGGAGCUGGAGCGUGCGCGACUGCGGCGCGCGGAGCACGCCGACGCAGUAGGCCCACACGAGGUGCAGCACGUCCGCGAACUGCUCUGGUUCCGGCGGUACCGGUACCAGUGACUCGGCGAGAAGCGGAGGCAGAGGUUGCGCGAGCCCACGGAGCUGUUGCACCCGUUCCACGGGUUCCUCGAGUUCCCGUACCUUUACCCCUAUGACCUCUAAUUUGUACCUAACGAUGUUCAACGUCUCUGCAACCUAAAAGAGGUAUUGUUACGGGUAGAACGUGUAGCUCGAUAUAGUGGACUCUGCCAGAAAUAUUGAAGUUCACCUAGAACCUUCGAACCUCCAAAACCAAAACGAGAAAGACAACUGGUUCGGUGUCCACCAAACCGUAGUAGCGUCGUUAAGGUAAUAAGCCUGAUGCUACAGCUUCUGUGUCGAAAUGGAGAAGUUGGUAGAGACUUGAUAUGACGUGGUCUUAACCAAGCGUCACCACUAAGAUUUCAUCCGAGAUGGACACUGUAUAAGUCAAAACCUACGGACCGAAUGGUGAAUCAACGAGUAUCUGGUGAAGACCUAACGGUAUUGUUACACUUUUACAUAUACUUAAGUAACUGUAUAAAUUGUUCACUUCGGAAAAGAUCAUAAGGAUGACUAGACCACCGACUAAACGCUUUAUACGAUAGUCAACUACGUCGUAGUGCGGGAUCACGCUACCGAAAGUGUCCGAGAAGAAAGAAGGCCGUACUAUGUUCCAACGCUCGAGAAGCAAAGGAACUGGUAAACGAACUCUCUCUAUUAUACGUCUUCUGUCUUAAAGACUUUCGUAAUAGCCUAUACACCUUUCUGAAACUAAGGGCUCAAGAAGCUAUAUUUCAAGAAGGUGGAGAAACACGGCUCGAUGCGUUGUACCAGUACGUCGUUUACUAAAACGGGUACCAAGACUGUUAUCGUCUUAGUGUCCUAUUUCUACUGAAACUCGACAGUUGUAACGGACGAGAACAAGGUCAUAAAUGAAGUCGUAGUCCACUUUGAGAAGAAAACGAACACUUCGCACGGCUAGAGUAAUAAUCGUUCCUUCUUCAAAACGCUGCUUGUCAUUGUGACAGAGCUGUUGAACUGUACUUCGAUGACUUUGUCAGACACGACGGUGCGCACGUACCUAAUCGAAACUUUUGAUGUCAACGACGCCACGCUCAUUUACGAAACGCGACAAAUCCUCUAGAACAAGGUAGCAACCUAUUUUGUCCAUAUCAUCUCUAGAACGUCUGAGAAGCCGCAACGUGUCGACAACUGGUAAGACGGGGUUGGGAAUACACGUGGGAACCUCAACGAUUACGCUAAAUAUUUGUCACACCACAACUCAAACGACGCCUCGUACACCAAGGAGAUCAGAAGGGUAACGAGUGCCGUGUUGUUGACUUACAUGUCGUUAAACGGUUCAUAUAGGAUAAACAGUUCCUAUAGUGUUCGUUCUAACUUCUCUUCGCACCACACUGUCAAUGCCUAUUACCCGUAUGUCUCCAUUUUCAUAGCGGAAGUUAGAGUUUACCCUAAGUAAGAUUCGGUUGAAGUCCUCCGGACCCUGUUUGACCUGUUUACGGUCGACGUUUCUCGUGAAGAACCCUACUUCUGACCCCGGGAUGAUUCUUUUGGUCACGGGGCGGUGAGAGAAAACUAAGAUCACGAGUUUGUUUCGUUGGGAGUUUUCUGGGAAAACUAAAGUCAUGGGUUUGUUUGGUUGGGAGUUGUGAAGGGAAGCUAGAAUCAUGAGUUUGCUUCGUCGGUAACUGUCAGUGAGUCCAACGUCGCAGAUGUUAGGGCAGACGUGUUGGUGAAGGUAGAGACGUUAGAGAACGUGGAUCAAGUCCUGUAGUUUGAAGGCCAAGUACACAAGGACAACUGUAACUCACCGGAGGAUCUUACUCGUGUAGUAGACUGAAAUUACGUGGUAAGAGUCGAUUGUUCCUAUCAUUUAGACCUCCCGACAGAUUGCUACCCCAACUACUACAACUAGGAAAACGGCUGACCGGGGGGUUUGGUUCGUCACGUCGGUCGUAAAGUCGUCACCUCGCGGACGGUUCGUGUUUAGUUUCAUAAAGACCCAACUUAUGUCCCUUGUACCCCAAACCACCACCGUCAUGAAGCGAACCUGUUUACUUUUGUUUGGUCCACUCGACCAGUCGCUUUGGUUUGUUAUGUUUAUAUUACCCGUACUUAAGUUGACGGUCGAUAAACUUGGUUCCGUUGAGUAGAGACCCUAUACCUUUAGGUUAACCUCCUGGUUCGAGUCCAGAGAGGUUACGUCGAUCAAGGUAACGUCCGGUCUCGUAGUCCGUUGGUUUUAGACUAAAACCAAGUGAUAGUGUCAAUAGGUCACCGUGUGUCCCGGGUGGGUCCGAACGGGGAGGAGGUAGACGACGACAACCUUCUCCCGCACCAUCUUUAGUUCCCGUCAGUCGGGAGAGGGCUCGUAGUGCCUGAGGGUUAAGGUUACAAAGUAGUCUCGUCGGUGGAAAAGAACUAAAUGACAUCGUUUAUGUCCCCUCAGGUACAAGAAGCAAGACGUCUGCCGUGACCUAUCGAGUGUAGCAAGUUCGGAACAUAUACUACUCGUAAUGUGAAAGGACUUUGUACCAACGUCCGCUAUCACGUAAAAGAACAGUCACCUUUGACCCAACGGAAACAACAAUCGGGGUUCCUUCGACGAAGUCCUUUCUCGGAAGGACUCCGAGACGACAUUACAGAUCUCAAGUGUUUACCAACACCACUACACUUUAAAACUUACAACUCUUACAUGGUGGUCUUAGACUACCCGGAGCACUUUCACCUUUGGGAUGUGCUUACAUAAGUAAAUACGGCCCAUCCCGGGUACAGCACAUUAACGGUUUAAACCCGGGUAGACAUGGAGACGGACCUUUUACACACACCUCUGUGAACAAUUUACGAGGUGAUCAAAGAACAUAACACUAAUAAUGACAGCUUCAUUUAUACGAAUAAAAGCGUGUAACGGUAGUUUCACUUUUACGAAUAAAA
rnacentral:rRNA from 1 species